AGAGUUGAUCAUGGCUCAAGACGAACGCUGGCGGCGUGCUUCAUACAUGCAAGUCGAACGAUAAGGUCUCUUCGGAGAUACAUAAGUGGCGGACGGGUGAGUAAUAUGUAGAGAAUCUGCCCUAGAGAGGGGGACAACAGAGGGAAACUUCUGCUAAUACCCCAUAUGAGCGUAGUUGAAAUGCUAUUCUUGAAAACUCCGGUGCUCUGGGAUGAGUCUGCAUCUGAUUAGCUAGUUGGGGGUGUAAUGGACCACCAAGGCGACGAUCAGUAGCUGGUUUGAGAGGAUGAUCAGCCACAAUGGGACUGAGACACGGCCCAUACUCCUACGGGAGGCAGCAGUAGGGAAUUUUGCGCAAUGGGGGAAACCCUGACGCAGCAACGCCGCGUGACCGAUGAAGCCCUUCGGGGUGUAAAGGUCUGUCAGUGGGGACGAAACUUGACGGUACCCACAGAGGAAGCAUCGGCUAACUCCGUGCCAGCCGCCGC
rnacentral:rRNA from 1 species